rnacentral:rRNA from 1 species
GAUGAACGCUGGCGGCGUGCUUAACACAUGCAAGUCGAACGAAGCACUUUAUUUGAUUUCCUUCGGGACUGAUUAUUUUGUGACUGAGUGGCGGACGGGUGAGUAACGCGUGGGUAACCUGCCUUGUACAGGGGGAUAACAGUUGGAAACGGCUGCUAAUACCGCAUAAGCGCACAGCAUCGCAUGAUGCAGUGUGAAAAACUCCGGUGGUAUAAGAUGGACCCGCGUUGGAUUAGCUAGUUGGUGAGGUAACGGCCCACCAAGGCGACGAUCCAUAGCCGACCUGAGAGGGUGACCGGCAACAUUGGGACUGAGACACGGCCCAAACUCCUACGGGAGGCAGCAGUGGGGAAUAUUGCACAAUGGGCGAAAGCCUGAUGCAGCGACGCCGCGUGAGCGAAGAAGUAUUUCGGUAUGUAAAGCUCUAUCAGCAGGGAAGAUAAUGACGGUACCUGACUAAGAAGCACCGGCUAAAUACGUG